rnacentral:rRNA from 1 species
AUUAUUUAAGAGCUAUAUAUUGUUAGUAAAUAAUUAUUACGAAAGCAAAAAAUUAUGGCGGUAUUUUAGGCUUUUCAGAGGAAUUUGCUCUUUAAUGGAUAAAACACCUAAAUCUUACUUGAAUUUGUUAAAUCAAUUUGUAUACCACUAUAAAAUUAAUUAUUUGCUUUAAUUAAUAAAGUUUAUAAUUUUUAAAACAAAUUAAGUCAAGGUGCAGUAAAAAUUUAAGAAUGAAGUGAAUUACAUUUCUUCUAAGAGAUUAAUAGAAAUUAAAAUAAAGUUAGGAUUUGAAAGUAAAAUUAAAAUAUAAUGUUAAUUUGAAUAAAGCUCUAAAAUAUGUACAC